rnacentral:rRNA from 1 species
AACGUAGGUGGCUAGCGUUGCCCGGAUUCACUGGGCGUAAAGCGGGUGUAGGCGGUUCUCUAAGUCAGAUGUGAAAUCCAGCGGCCCAACCGCUGAAUUGCAUCUGAUACUGGGGAACUUGAGGACGGUAGAGGUCGGUGGAAUUCCGGGUGUACCGGUGAAAUGGGCAGAUAUCCGGAGGAACACCAGUGGCGAAGGCGGCCGACUGGGCCGAUCCUGACGCUGAGACCCGAAAGCCAGGGUAGCGAACCGG